UCGGUCUUCCAGCCUCUGGAUUUACAGCGAGACUCCAGGAAAACCCUCCUGCCUGCUUAUCUGUGCCAUGGGCGAGGGCUUCCUUCCCGGUUUAUCGUUAGAGCCUGCCUUCCUCCAGAGAGCUGGUUGGAGCAGCCACCCUCUGUUCCCCGCUAGACAUCUGGACGCUGCCCGAGAUGAGCUCUCUUUUUGUGCGGAGCGUGGAAAUUGAGAUAGCCAACAAAACCCGGAAUGUGACCCUGCAUACCCCCAGGAGCUACUGCUACAGUGGCUACAGCUAUAUACCACCCAGUCCCAAGAUCCCCCCUGGUGCCACGGAGAGCUGCCAAUUUGCUAAUGUAGCGCUCAGCUUCCGGGGGAGCGUGGGGAUCCUGGUGUAUGAGGCAGACACCUUCACACUGGCCAUCCUCUUCUCCAACCCCUAUGACUACAACAUUUUCUAUAUGGAGGUUGCCYUGGAGAUCUCCAUGGAAAAAGCCCACCUCGGCAACUUGGAGGAUGUCUACAAGAGGAUGUACAACAGCGUGCCCACUGGCAACGUUAAUGGCACCACCUUCCAGCGAGCCAAACUCCAUGCAUGCCAGGAGACCCUCAUGGUCUCCGCCAACCAUGUGCAGGUCAUGGCCACCAUGUCCAGCGCUGCUAACUCAGUCCUGAAAGUAAUUGUGGAGGAUAAAGAUAGUCCCCCCCCAUAUUCAGAGCAAGCACCACCUGGUAGCCUUGGGCAGUAUCAGCCUCGGCCGAAGAAUUGGAAGAACCUGCUCAAAGGCAAGACGGGCAGGUGAUAGUGCUCUCUGUUUUGGUUCUUGCUUGCUUUAGAUGCCAGGCAACAUGUGCUUCCUUCAAUAAAGGCUAAAGCCAAGUAUCCA
rnacentral:lncRNA from 1 species